rnacentral:rRNA from 1 species
UUGCAGUUAAAAAGCUCGUAGUUGGAUUUCUGCGGGGGCGGGGCGGCCGGUUGCUUAUAGCAACUUGAGCUAGCACUUCCCCUGCAUCCUGCCGCGAACCGUGCUACCAUUAGUUUGGUGGCGCCGGGGAUCGGCUCGUUUACUUUGAGAAAAAUAGAGUGUUCAAAGCAGGCCACACGCCUUGAAUAAGUUAGCAUGGAAUAAUGAUAAAGGACUUCGGUUCUAUUUUGUUGGUGUUCGGGACUGAAGUAAUGAUUGAUAGGGACAGUUGGGGCGGUCCGUAUUCCAAAGCGAGAGGUGAAAUUCUUAGACCUUCGGAAGACGAACAGCUGCGAAAGCGUUCCGCAAGGAUGUUCCCUUUGAUCAAGAACGAAAGUUGGGGGAUCGAAGACGAUCCAGAUACCGUCGUAGUCUCAACUAUAAACCUAUACCAGCUAGGGAUCGGCCAACCGUUUAAUUACACCCGACUUGGUCGGCAC